CGGGUGAGUAACGCGUGGAUAAUCUGCCCGAGGAUUUGGGAUAACAUCUCGAAAGGGGUGCUAAUACCGAAUAAGCCCACGGGGUCUACGGAUCUUGCGGGAAAAGGGGGGGACUUUCGGGCCUCCUGUCUUCGGAUGAGUCCGCGUACCAUUAGCUAGUUGGUGGGGUAAUGGCCUACCAAGGCGACGAUGGUUAGCUGGUCUGAGAGGAUGAUCAGCCACACUGGAACUGAGACACGGUCCAGACUCCUACGGGAGGCAGCAGUGGGGAAUUUUGCGCAAUGGGGGAAACCCUGACGCAGCAACGCCGCGUGGGUGAUGAAGGCCUUCGGGUCGUAAAGCCCUGUCGGGAGGAAAGAAAUGAUUGAGGGCUAAUACCUCUUGAUCUUGACGGUACCUCCGAAGGAAGCACCGGCUAACUCCGUGCCAGCAGCCGCGGUAAUACGGAGGGUGCAAGCGUUGUUCGGAAUUAUUGGGCGUAAAGCGCGUGUAGGCGGUCUUUUAAGUCUGAUGUGAAAGCCCCGGGCUCAACCUGGGAAGUGCAUUGGAAACUGGGAGACUUGAGUACGGGAGAGGAGAGUGGAAUUCCUAGUGUAGGAGUGAAAUCCGUAGAUAUUAGGAGGAACACCGGUGGCGAAGGCGGCUCUCUGGACCGAUACUGACGCUGAGACGCGAAAGCGUGGGUAGCAAACAGGAUUAGAUACCCUGGUAGUCCACGCCGUAAACGAUGAGUUCUAGGUGUUGCG
rnacentral:rRNA from 1 species